ensembl:misc_RNA Metazoa_SRP Metazoan signal recognition particle RNA
GCUGGGCGUGGUGGCUCAUGCCUGUAAUCCUAGCACUUUGGGAGGCUGAGAUGGGCGGAUCACUUGAGGUCAGGAGUUUGUGACCACCCUGGCCAACAUGGUGAAACCCCAUCUCUA